CGGAAACUUCUCUUCCUUUUUUAUCUUCGUCACGGGAUAACUCAGAUUUUCUCAUUUUUGGUAUCGGAAUCAGGAAAGUGAAGGGAAAAAAAAACAAAAGUAGUAAAUUAAUUUUGUAGUUUUGAAUCUCACUUUUGAAGCAAUGGAUGAAGAAAUAUCGAAUUCAGCGCGGAGAAUGUCUAUGAGAACUCGUAAAAUUGCUCCAAAGAUGGCUGCUGCUCUUGCCAGUUCUGAUAAUAGAACACAGGCUAUGCUAGCGCGGCUUGAUGCUUUGGAAAGUG
rnacentral:misc_RNA from 1 species